rnacentral:tRNA from 1 species
GCACUGAGUGGUAAAGUAUCUGCUUGGCAUGCAUAAGGUCCCAGGUUCAAUCCCCAGCAUCUCCA